rnacentral:rRNA from 1 species
AGCGAACGCUGGCGGCAGGCUUAACACAUGCAAGUCGAGCGGGCCUUCCGGGGUCAGCGGCGGACGGGUGAGUAACGCGUGGGAACGUGCCCUCUGGUUCGGAAUAACUCAGGGAAACUUGAGCUAAUACGGGAUACGCCCUUUUGGGGAAAGGUUUUUUGCCGGAGGUUCUGCGCGCGUCUGAUUAGCUAGUUGGUGCGGUAAUGGCUCACCAAGGCGACGAUUAGUAGCUGGUUUGAGAGGAUGAUCAGCCACACUGGGACUGAGACGCGGCCGAGACUCCUACGGGAGGCAGCAGUGGGGAAUAUUGGACAAUGGGCGCAAGCCUGAUCCAGCCAUGCCGCGUGAGUGAUGAAGGCCUUAGGGUUGUAAAGCUCUUUUAUCCGGGACGAUAAUGACGGUACCGGAGGAAUAAGCCCCGGCUAACUUCGUG